rnacentral:sRNA from 1 species
GUCGUGAGAUGUUGGGUUAAGUCCCGCAACGAGCGCAACCCUCGUUCUAUGUUGCCAGCGGAUAAUGCUGGGGACUCAUAGGAGACUGCCGGGGUCAACUCGGAGGAAGGUGGGGACGACGUCAAGUCAUCAUGCCCCUUAUGUCCAGGGCUGCACACAUGCUACAAUGGCCGGUACAAAGGGCAGCGAAACCGCAAGGUAGAGCGAAUCCCAAAAAGCCGGUCUCAGUUCGGAUUGGGGUCUGCAACUCGACCCCAUGAAGUCGGAGUCGCUAGUAAUCGCAGAUCAGCAACGCUGCGGUGAAUACGUUCCCGGGCCUUGUACACACCGCCCGUCACGUCACGAAAGUCGGUAACACCCGAAGCCAGUGGCCCAACCCGUAAGGGAGGGAGCUGUCGAAGGUGGGAUCGGCGAUUGGGACGAAGUCGUAACAAGGUAGCCGUACCGGAAGGUGCGGCUGGAUCACCUCCUUUCUAAGGAGCACCGGCAGGGGCGAAUGUCCCCUGUCCAGCUCAUGGGUGGAACACUGACUAUUCGGCCGCGGUCGCCUCGAUCCGGCACCUAGUACAGCCUCUUCGGAGGUGGGAACGGUGCUGGCCACAGGCGUCGCGGCCGGGCACGUUGUUGGGUCCUGAGGGAACGGAGACGUUCGCUCAGCCCGAAAGGCGCCGGCCGGUCUCGACCGUCCCGGCGCUUUUCUACGGACAGGACCGAUCGUGCGUCGUACCGCGUUCUCCGGAACGGACUGGCGGCGGGAAGUUGCGAUCGGGACCGCCCGCACCUUGAGAACUGCACAGUGGACGCGAGCAUCUUUGUGGCCAAGCUAGUAAGGGCGCACGGUGGAUGCCUUGGCACCAGGAGCCGAUGAAGGACGUAGGAGGCUGCGAUAAGCCUCGGGGAGCUGCCAACCGAGCUGUGAUCCGAGGAUUU